rnacentral:rRNA from 1 species
GGUGCGUAGGCGGCCUUUUAAGUCAGUGGUGAAAUCCUGCCGCUUAACGGUAGAAUUGCCAUUGAUACUGAAAGGCUUGAGUUCAGUUGAGGUAAGCGGAAUGUGUAGUGUAGCGGUGAAAUGCUUAGAUAUUACACAGAACACCAAUUGCGAAGGCAGCUUACUAAACUGACACUGACGCUGAUGCACGAAAGCGUGGGGAGCGAACAGGAUUAGAUACCCUGGUAGUCCACGCCGUAAACGAUGUUCACUCGCUGUUUGCGAUACACAGCAAGCGGCCAAGCGAAAGCAUUAAGUGAACCACCUGGGGAGUACGAUCGCAAGGUUGAAACUCAAAGGAAUUGACGGGGGCCCGCACAAGCGGAGGAACAUGUGGUUUAAUUCGAUGAUACGCGAGGAACCUUACCUGGGCUUAAAUGUAGAACGACAGGCUGUGAAAGCAGUCCUUCUUCGGACGUUUUACAAGGUGCUGCAUGGUUGUCGUCAGCUCGUGCCGUGAGGUGUCGGGUUAAGUCCCAUAACGAGCGCAACCCUUAUCGUUAGUUGCCAGCGGGUCAUGCCGGGGACUCUAGCGAGACUGCCACCGUAAGGUGUGAGGAAGGUGGGGAUGACGUCAAAUC